rnacentral:rRNA from 1 species
UUACACAUGCUACCGUGAUGGUCAACCUUUUUGAAAAGCUUGCCCCAAAUGCUAGUAUAUAUUCUGUGUGUGCAUGUAUGUGCAUGCUUGCUAGUUGCUGCACUCACACACAAAUAUUGGGUGAGCCCGCACUUGCCAGUAUGGUGUUCGAGCUGGUGAGAGGUGAACGGCUAACGUUGGUGUCUAUGUGUUGCUGAGCAGGCUGUCUUCGUCCGUGGCUGCGAUGAGGCAACGCGUUAGGACUGCAUAUGCUGCGCCAGUGCGCUAUGUGGUUUAAGACUUGAUGAGUCCAUUGCUAGGGACCGCCAACAUUUCUUCUUUUUCAAUACAUUUUUAAAACACAACAAAAUUCUAGUCUUACCGGUGGAUCACUCGGCUCGCGGGUCGAUGAAGAACGCAGCUAACUGCGAUAAAUAGUGUGAACUGCAGAAACCUUGAACACAAAACUUUCGAAUGCACAUUGCGCCAUUGGAGUCUUAUCCUUUGGCACGCCUGGUUCAGGGUCGUAACCCUAAUACACUUCAUUAAGUGUGAACAUUCAUGUGUAGUGGGUUCACUCGCACUUCAUGCAUUGCUACUUUUGCUGUUGUGUGAGUGUAUUCGCUGAAUUUGCUAUAGCUGUGCGCGCUAGCGCUGGAGUUGCGGGUGUCUAUUGGGUCAGUCAGAAGUUGUUUGCUCAACCGAUCCAUAGCGCCAUGAGGGCAUUUGCAGUGCGGCUAGUGCCUGUGCUUGCCUGCGCUUCAUCAGUGCUAGUGUGUGUGCUUAAUGAGUGUGUUGUGUGUGCACAGACUGUGUGUGGCCGCUUUGCUGUGGUUAUCAAGCGGUUGCUGCUAACGGUGCGUGUGUGCGCUUCGGCACUCUAUCUAUUUGCAUUUUCGACCUGAACUCAGACGUGAAUACCCGCUGAACUUAAGCAUAUCAGUAAGCGGAGAAAG